rnacentral:rRNA from 1 species
AGCUAAUACUUGCUUUAGCACUCUUGAUUAAGUUCUUGAGUGUGUACUUGUUAAGCCUUUUAAGAAAAAAGUUAUUAACUUAAGGAAUUAUAACAAAGAAGUAACACGUAAAUGGAUUUUCCAUUUUUUAGUGUGUAUCAAUCGAGUUUCUGACCUAUCAGCUUUUGAUGUUAGGGUAUUGGCCUAACAUGGCUAUGACGGGUAACGGGGAAUUAGAGUUCGAUUCCGGAGAGGGAGCCUGAGAAAUAGCUACCACAUCUAAGGAAGGCAGCAGGCGCGUAAAUUACCCAAUUCUAAAGAAGAGAGGUAGUGACAAGAAAUAACAAUACAAGGCCAAUCUGGCUUUGUAAUUGGAAUGAUGGGAAUUUAAAACCUUCCCAAAACUCAAUUGGAGGGCAAGUCUGGUGCCAGCAGCCGCGGUAAUUCCAGCUCCAAUAGCGUAUAUUAAAAUUGUUGCAGUUAAAACGCUCGUAGUUGAAUUUCAAAGAAUCGAUAUUUUAAGUAACGCUUUGUAGAUUAAUCCACAUAACUGAUACUACGUAUCGACUUUGUGCGCAUUUUUCUACUUAUGUGUUCUUUUAAUUAAAAUGAUUCUUUUUAAGAUCUUUCUUUUUUGCUUCGGCAUUUUAGGAGAUCUUGUUACUUUGAGUAAAUUAGAGUGUUCAAAGCAAACAGAUUAUAGCAUCUUUAUGCGUUUGAAUACUACAGCAUGGAAUAACAAAAUUGAACAAGUCAGAAUUUUGUUCUUUUUUCUUAUUUUGGCUUAGUUACGAUUAAUAGGAGUAGCUUGGGGGCAUUUGUAUUCAGAUGUCAGAGGUGAAAUUCUUAGAUUUUCUGGAGACAAACAACUGCGAAAGCAUUUGCCUAAAAUACUUCCAUUAAUCAAGAACGAAAGUUAAGGGAGUGAAGACGAUCAGAUACCGUCGUAAUCUUAACCAUAAACUAUACCGACUAGGUUUUGGAUGAAAGUAAAACAAAUAAGGAUAGUCUCUUCGGGGAUAGUCCUUAGAUUUCUUCCUUCAGUACCCUAUGAGAAAUCAAAGUCUUUGGGUUCUGGGGCGAGUAUUCGCGCAAGCGAGAAAGUUAAAAGAAUUGACGGAAGGGCACCACCAGGCGUGGAGCUUGCGGCUUAAUUUGACUCAACACGGGAAAACUCACUAGUUUAAGACAAGAGUAGGAUUGACAGAUUGAGAGCUCUUUCUUGAUUUCUUGGAUGGUGAUGCAUGGCCGUUUUUAGUUCGUGAAUAUGAUUUGUCUGGUUAAUUCCGAUAACGAACGAGAUCUUAACCUGCUAAUUAGCGGCAAAUACGAUAUAUUCUUACGUGGAAUUGCAUGCUUAUGGUUUGUCUCUAUUGAGCUGCAUAAUAAUGAAGGAUCGUGAUUGCUUUUCGUGUCAAUCUUUCUUAAUCGAAUCGUUGAUGUGUUUUGUAUAUCUCGUUCUUUCAUUACCUUGCAAUCACUCAUUUGCCUUAUCAUACUGUUUCUCUUUUGCGUAAGAAUGUAUUUGCUUGAUUGUAAAGCUUCUUAGAGGAACGAUGUGUGUCUAACACAAGG